rnacentral:rRNA from 1 species
GAACUGAAGAGUUUGAUCAUGGCUCAGAUUGAACGCUGGCGGCAGGCCUAACACAUGCAAGUCGAGCGGAUGAAGGGAGCUUGCUCCUGGAUUCAGCGGCGGACGGGUGAGUAAUGCCUAGGAAUCUGCCUGGUAGUGGGGGAUAACGUCCGGAAACGGGCGCUAAUACCGCAUACGUCCUGAGGGAGAAAGUGGGGGAUCUUCGGACCUCACGCUAUCAGAUGAGCCUAGGUCGGAUUAGCUAGUUGGUGGGGUAAAGGCCUACCAAGGUGACGAUCCGUAACUGGUCUGAGAGGAUGAUCAGUCACACUGGAACUGAGACACGGUCCAGACUCCUACGGGAGGCAGCAGUGGGGAAUAUUGGACAAUGGGCGAAAGCCUG